rnacentral:tRNA from 1 species
GCAGGUGUAGUUUAAUUGGUAAAACUCCGAUCUCCAAAGUCGAUGUAGAUGUAUGUUCGAGUCAUAUCACCUGUGA